UCGGGAAUUUUGGGCAAUGGGCGAAAGCCUGACCCAGCAACGCCGCGUGAAGGAUGAAAUCCCUCGGGAUGUAAACUUCGCAAGAACGGGAAGAAUAAGUUGGUGCGAACAUCACCAGCGAUGACGGUACCGUUUGUAAGCUCCGGCUAACUCCGUGCCAGCAGCCGCGGUAAUACGGGGGGAGCAAGCGUUGUUCGGAUUUACUGGGCGUAAAGGGCGCGUAGGCGGCCACCGCAAGUCGAUUGUGAAAUCUCCGGGCUUAACCCGGAAAGGUCAACCGAUACUGCGGGGCUAGAGUGCAGAAGGGGCAACUGGAAUUCUCGGUGUAGCGGUGAAAUGCGUAGAUAUCGAGAGGAACACCUGCGGCGAAGGCGGGUUGCUGGGCUGACACUGACGCUGAUGCGCGAAAGCUAGGGGAGCGAACGGGAUCAGAUACCCCGGUAGUCCUAGCCUUAAACGAUGGAUGCUUGGUGUCUGGGGUUUUAUAGUCCCCGGGUGCCGUCGCUAACGCUUUAAGCAUCCCGCCUGGGGAGUACGGUCGCAAGACUGA
rnacentral:rRNA from 1 species